UGGGGAAUAUUGCACAAUGGGCGCAAGCCUGAUGCAGCCAUGCCGCGUGUGUGAAGAAGGCCUUCGGGUUGUAAAGCACUUUCAGCGAGGAGGAAGGUGGUGAACUUAAUACGUUCAUCAAUUGACGUUACUCGCAGAAGAAGCACCGGCUAACUCCGUGCCAGCAGCCGCGGUAAUACGGAGGGUGCAAGCGUUAAUCGGAAUUACUGGGCGUAAAGCGCACGCAGGCGGUUUGUUAAGUCAGAUGUGAAAUCCCCGGGCUCAACCUGGGAACUGCAUUUGAAACUGGCAAGCUAGAGUCUCGUAGAGGGGGGUAGAAUUCCAGGUGUAGCGGUGAAAUGCGUAGAGAUCUGGAGGAAUACCGGUGGCGAAGGCGGCCCCCUGGACGAAGACUGACGCUCAGGUGCGAAAGCGUGGGGAGCAAAACAGGAUUAGAUACCCCUGGUAGUCCACGCUGUAAAACGAUGUCGAUUUUGGAGGUUGUGCCCUUGAGGCGUGGCUUCCGGAGCUAACGCGUUAAAUCGACCGCCUGGGGAGUACGGCCGCAAGGUUAAAACUUAAAGGAAUUGACGGGGUCUAGCUG
rnacentral:rRNA from 1 species